AUCCUUUUGUAGCCUGUAAGUGUAAUAACUGGGUUUUCAUGCCAUUAUGUAAGAUACAUCUCCUUUAAACAUUAUUAUCAUGCAGGCACAUUAACUGUCAGACA